rnacentral:rRNA from 1 species
AGCAGCCGCGGUAAUUCCAGCUCCAAUAGCGUAUAUUAAAGUUGUUGCAGUUAAAAAGCUCGUAGUUGAAUUUCAGGCCUGGCUGGACGGUCCGCCCUUCGGGUGAGUACUGUCUGUGGUCGGGUCCUACCUUCUGGCGAAGCGUCAUGGCCUUAACCGGCCGUGGCGGGGAACCAGGACUUUUACUGUGAAAAAUUAGAGUGUUCAAAGCAGGCAAUCGCUUGGAUACAUUAGCAUGGAAUAAUGGAAUAGGACAAUGGUUCUAUUUGUUGGUUUCUAGGACCGUUGUAAUGAUUAAUAGGGAUAGUUGGGGGCAUUAGUAUUCAAUUGUCAGAGGUGAAAUUCUUGGAUUUAUUGAAGACUAACUACUGCGAAAGCAUUUGCCAAGGAUGUUUUCAUUAAUCAAGAACGAAAGUUAGGGGAUCGAAGACGAUCAGAUACCGUCGUAGUCUUAACCAUAAACUAUGCCGACUAGGAAUCGGGCGAUGUUGAAAAAUGA